UGGAGCCAGUGGAAUUUGGAAGAA
rnacentral:piRNA from 1 species